UCGAUCUUCAGUUUGGAGAGUUAGCAGUAAACGCCCAGGGGGUGAUGUUGAGAAGUGGAUUGAUGUGAUUCGGAUCGGGUUAGAGGGUAUAACGGUUAAUGAUGCGAAUAAAUCGUUUAAUGGAGUCUGUUCUAGGCUCGAGGAUAUGCUGGAUAGUUUGUCGACAUUGCUUU